rnacentral:rRNA from 1 species
UACAGAGGGGGCAAGCGUUGUUCGGAAUUACUGGGCGUAAAGGGCGCGUAGGCGGCCUGUUAAGUCGAACGUGAAAUCCCCGGGCUCAACCCGGGAACUGCGUCCGAUACUGGCAGGCUUGAAUCCGGGAGAGGGAUGCGGAAUUCCAGGUGUAGCGGUGAAAUGCGUAGAUAUCUGGAGGAACACCGGUGGCGAAGGCAGCUCACUGGGACGGUAUUGACGCUGAGACGCGAAAGCGUGGGGAGCAAACAGG